ACCCGUCUAGGUAGAACUCUCCUAGCCGAGAUCUGAGCUCAGCACAUAGAUGCUACUCAGGAACCUUUCCCAAAAUGUUAGAAGAGGGAUAGAAAAACAUUUGCAACUUUUGUUUGACUUGGUGAACGAGUCAGGAACUGUUUGUGCACAAUAAUCCAACAUCAGUUUAAGAUUUUUGGCUGUGUUUUUUCAAGAGCAAGAAAAGAUUUUGCUUCCAAUUCCUGCCCAUUAUUUUUUUAUUGGUUGGAUUUCCUAUUCAGCACCACUUUACUUUCAUUAUUUUGGUUAUUAAUCUGUUCAUUUUGGAAGAUAUAAUUGCAUCAUCUCCAUAACCAGGAGAAUUGCUGUCUGCUCAUCAGCUCUGUAUCAUUAAUGAAGAUCUUUGUCUGUUGGGUUUCCUUAGUACAGAGUUCUGGAAAGAUGGAUAUUAGGAAAGUGAGAAGACAAAGAAAAAUUGCGUGGAAGAUACUAUUGCUGAGUGGGAAGAAAUGAGAUCGGUGGAUAGCUAGAGCAGUCCAUUGCUGUCAUCAUUACCAUCGUCAUCAUCAUCAGAAGCAUGGUCUAACCACACCUAGAGCUUCUGUUGAACUGGAAUUAAAAUCACUUGAAUUGCUCCCAUUCUUUAUCUCAACUGGUUCUUCAUUAUCUCAUUUUGUCGAAGAUUACUGUCUUCAAUGAAAGUAUAUGAUACAUUUGCUAUAUAACAUUUUAAUGUUUCUUGUUUGGUGCCUGAAGAAAUUUUGCUAUGUGAAAAGUCACUAUCACCCUUAUCUGUAGCAUUCUCCUCCAAGAGCAGUCAAAUAAGAAAACCAAUUACAGUAAUUUUCUACCACACAAUAGAGGUGAGAGUUCCACCAAUCUGAAACUAAGUUAGCUAUUCCAAACAACAGGAAUGCAUUAUUGUAGAGUAAAUAAAAAGUGAUUGAA